rnacentral:rRNA from 1 species
UGGGGAAUUUUGCACAAUGGGCGGAAGCCUGAUGCAGCGACGCCGUGUGGGGGAUGAAGGCCUUCGGGUUGUAAACUCCUUUCGUCAGGGACGAAGUUUGUUUGACGGUACCUGGAUAAGAAGCACCGGCUAACUACGUGCCAGCAGCCGCGGUAAUACGUAGGGUGCGAGCGUUGUCCGGAUUUACUGGGCGUAAAGGGCUCGUAGGUGGUGUGUUGCGUCGUCUGUGUAAUCCAGGGGCUUAACUUUUGGUUGGCAGGCGAUACGGGCAUUGCUUGAGUGCUGUAGGGGAGACUGGAAUUCCUGGUGUAGCGGCGAAAUGCGCAGAUAUCAGGAGGAACACCGAUGGCGAAGGCAGGUCUCUGGGCAGUUACUGACGCUGAGGAGCGAGAGCAUGGGUAGCGAACAGG